UAUUCGGAAAAACUGUCUUCCCCCUCCCCCCAUUUUGAAACCUCUGGAUAUUGUGAAAGGUCCGUUUUUUCAGUAUUUUCUCACAGCCCGACUGACGCUGCAGCCUCAGAUUCGGGAAACGGGUGUUGCUAUUUUGAUUGUGGUGAAUAUGCAUCAAUAUGGUAAUCUAGUAUCUGUCUUUAUGCACCCUCAUCUAAUCCACGUGCCUCAGAACUCAAAACUCCGCCAAGUCGCCGAGAUAUGAGAAAGGAUUUUACUAUAUAGGUGAGUCCAUUUUAUGCGGAUAAAACUACGCCAAAUGUAAGUGGUGUACAUACAGGCUAUAAUGUGUUUGUGAAGACAAACAACUUGUGAGUCAAUGACAGCAUGUGGUUCUUUUUUUGCUGGGAGGAAAAAAAAAUCUUUACGUGUGGCCAUCUGACCAUUGCUAUUGGGUGGCACAUGAUAUGAGCACUUCAGAGCAAGGUUCACUAAAAGAAGAGGAACAGUUACUACUGGAAACCACCAUAAAGCUAUUCCAGUGGGUUAUUGUAGGCAUUCCACUACAGUUGAGAUGCAUAUACUUUAAACCUGAAAAAGCACACAUUUCUGGAUGGAGGAUUUUAAAGAUGACGUAGAAAUAUUAUGAAUCCGGAGGUGAGGAUGACCAGAAUUUGCCCGCUGCAGGAGAGAGGGGGGCAUUGACCUAUUUGAAAUGUAUCCCGAAGCGAAGCCUACAUGAGGUGAGCUAAGGAAGGACGAGUCCGCGGGGAGACAACAGCUGACGGCUUAAUUUGAAGGGAAGGAUGGCGCCUCUGUUCGUUAAGAUGGAGCUCCCCUGUAGGCAACGGAGAGCAAACAUGGCCUACACCCAUGUAGGAGAAGUGACAGCAUUGCUCUCUGAUGGAAAGUAAGAUCCAGGUUUGGACCACACCUCCAUUGUCUUCAGACAGAUGGCACAGAACCUUACGCCGAUCUGUCUAUGGGUUCACAAGAAUUCAUGCGAAAGAGGAAACAGGAAGAAAUAGUUUCACUUCAAUAUGUCACUGGCCCAAGGUAAACAGUUACAGUUGCUAUGGUCCCUGAUCUUUCGAAUGCUUCCUCGAUACAGUGCACACGCUUAAUAUAUUUUUUUUUUCUUCUUUGUGUCAGCAGUGCUAGGAAAGGUGGCAUUCUGUAAACUGAAACCAUUUGCUUUCCAGUGCAAUUGCUGGUUUCUGCUUACACGUAGCAACACUGAAACAUAUUACUUUACAUGUAAAAGUAAUGUAAAGCAAUAAACCCUGAGCCAGACAGAUGUACACAACCAUCAACGUGUGCCAUCUGGCAGAGACAAUGCCAAACCUCUUCUGCCUUAUUGUGUCAAUGGUAACUGUUAUCUGUGGAUUGUUCGACAUAGAAUACAAUUGCCAACAUCUCAGUGAAAGAGGAUUCCAUUAUCACAUCAUUGUUGGCAACUGCUAUGCAUG